AGAUAUCAAGUUGGAAAUUGAAUUCUGCGUCCUCGCAAUACCCUAAAAACCAAAUUUUGAAACUAUAAGUUUCUACUUAGUUUUUAAGCUUAUAGACAUUGAAGUAUAUCUAAUAUACUAUUAGUUCACUUUUCCUUAGAAAAAUCAAGAGUCCCUUAGGUUAAAACUUGACAAAAGUAGAAGAAAUGUUUCCUAUAGUUUUCCUUGAGUUACUUUUCUUAUAAAAAGGGUAACUAGUAUUAUUUUAUUGAAAUAAGUCGACAAACCUCUUAAUAUCAGAGUUAGAAAGUUACUUUGAACAUUUCUCUAAAGUUACGGCUUUUUGCAAAAAUUAUCCCUAAAAACUAUUUUUCCUAAAAUAGGGUUUCUUGCCGAGCAAGUUUCCCAGGCUUUUCACAAAAUUCAUUAAAACUCGUAUUUUGAAACUUUUCCUAUAGUUAACUAGCCAAGAGCAAUACUUAAUGAAAGAAAAGGAAUUAAAAUAAGACUUAGGGUUUUCAAAAGCUAUAGAAUUUAUUUACUAUAGCUAUCAAGGCUAGUUUGAGCUAAAGGAAAUUAUCGGGUUGGAAAGUUCUAGGCAAAACACUAGAUAUUGAGUUUUAUAAUCUAAUACUAGCCGAAAAAUAUUUUUGAUUAGUUUGAUCACAGUUACCCGAGUUCGCAAGGUCGAAACGACUUCCACAGCUCCGAUUCCGUUUCGAAAUCAUAUUAUGGAUCAAAUAUGGCAAAAUCACAUAGCAAAUCACUAGGGUUUCGUCAAUCAUUAGCCCUAGAUUUCAACAAAUGCAUUUCUGAUAAAAAUAAAAUGAAUGACCAAGGCUUCAUCAAUCAUUAGCACUUGGUUUCAGCAAGCUCAGCUUAAACAAAUAAAAAUAAAAGCAAGGCCUCCAAGAAAUUCUAGCAAUUAAAUUUCAUCACCCAGUAAUACUUAUAAAAUCAUUCACAUGGCCAAGGGCUUCAUCAAUCAUUAGCCCUUGACAACAUCAAUCACUUCCAACCACAAUUCAAUCAAGAAUUUAAACCACAAGUAAGCUAAAAUCUAAAUCCAAAUCCAAAUUCAGUUUCACGAAGAAUCAGAACAUUCAUACAAAACAGUCUACUUUGAGGAUUCACAGACAGCAGUACACAUGGAGGAAAAAUAUGAAAUUUCUACAGAACAAAGGUCCAUGAAUCUAGUUUCAAAUGCCACUGACGGCACCUUAAUCGGAUUUUCCUACACCAAGAUAUAAGCAUUUUACUGAGACUGGUCAGUAAAAUCCGAAAAUCUGAAAUCUCAUUUUUCACUUGUGAAAAACUCCUUUUUCUCUUUUAACACCAUAAGGUUUUUAUUCCAACCAUCCAUUCAUUUCUUAUAGAACUCCAAAACAACAUAUUCCAGGCACUUCCAACCAUUACGCUUCAAAGAAAAAUUUCAAAACCAAGCUGAGGUUCCAAUUCAACCUUCGGCUAUCACAAAAGAAAUUCUAGCCUUUAGAUAUCAACAUUUUUGGUUCAAUCUUUCAAUUUAUCCAAUAUUUCAUUGCCAAACAACUUAAAAUUUACAUCUCUUAUGUAUUACUAAUCCAUUAUAUUCCAAGGGAAGAAUAAAAUAAAUUUCCAGAAACCAAUUAAAAUUUCCAAAGACAAACUGAAAAUUCUGGUUCCUCCCCUCGGCUAUCAAUACUUUUCCAGCACUUAGAGUUUUAUAAAUCCAACUUUUCCUUGGUUAAAGCAUGGUUUUAGAUUCUCAAAUUCAUCAUGUGAACCUUUGGCUAACUAAGUAACAUUUCUGGUUCAAGAUCGAAUUUGAAUAACAGGUUUUAACAUCCCAAAAAUUCCAGAAAUCUGUCCAGCAAGCUACAGAUGAAUCAUGCAUGAAGAAACUUUCUGUUUUCAUUUUAUUUUCUCGGUUAAAACAUGCUAUUAAACUCUCAACUUCCUCAUGCAAUUACUUAGCUAAACAAUGAACAUUACCAGUUCAAGAGUUGAAUUUAAACCAUGAUUACAAACCCCAAAAUUGCCAGGUUUAAACCUCACGGCUUUUUCUCAAAAUUUCCAGCAAUAACAAUGGUUCUAAAACCAGAUUUCCCUUGUUUAAGUUGAGGUGUUAGGAGCUCAAAUUCGGCAUGUAAACACUUAACUAGUUUAUUAGCGUAUCUAGCUCAGGAAUUACUUUCGAUUAACAACAAAAAUCCUCCAAAAUUUUCAGAAAUUUCCAGCUUCAAACCUCGGUUGCUGUGGCAUGAAGACUGAUUGCAUUGUGAUUUUAUUUCGGUUCUAACCCAACUAAUUAGCCACAUGCAAAGCUCAAUUAUCUUGUUAUUAGCUAGUUAGUUAUGGUUAUAGGCUCAACGCAACAAGAUUAAAUCAAAUGGAGCUACAUUAUUCAAGGCAGACUCUCGGCAGAAACUUUUCAUCAAAACAGAAUUUUCCUAAACUCUUUAAUUCAUCAUCCAACUACAUAAAAUUAUCAUGCAAGGCCCUAAUCGUAUUAGUCAUCCAAGAUUUAAUUAGUUAUUCACCACUGCAUGCUCAAAUUACUUCAGGGAAACAACAUUAAAGCUGCCUUUCCAAACCAGUUUCUCGGCUAAACCAUAUCUUCCAAAACAGAAUUUUUUUUUUUAUGCUUUAACAACAUCAUCCGAAUGCACAAAUCAACAUGCAUGGUCUUGAUCAUCUCAUUUCCACUUAGUUAAACAUAGCUAUAAGUUUAGAGCAACAAAAUUAACCCAAAUAAAACUGCAUUUCUCAAGACAAGUUCUCGGCUGCAACAAUUCAUAAAAACAGAAUUUCUUAUGUUUCUAGAUUCAUCAUCCGGCUGCACAGAGUUAACAUGCAAGGCCUUAAUCAUAUUAAUCAUCCAAGUUUAAGUUAGCUAAUCAUAAUUUCAGGUUCUGAUUACCACAACAAAGCAGAUUACAUCAUGCAUUUCUUAAUCGAUUCUCGGCCAACCAUUUCCUUUUCAAAACAGAAUUUUUCUGGUGUCCUGGUUUCAUCAACCGACUUCACAAGCAACACAAGCAGCUCUGAUAUGGCUUCAUCUACUAAAAGUUAACUUAAUAUAGCCCAGCAAUUACCUCAGAAACAACUCAGCUCAAGCACAAAAAAUCUGAAAAGAAAAAUUCUGUUCUCCCUCUCGGCUCUCGACUCGCUUGUGGCUGCAGGUUGGUUGCUGCUGUGAUGGUGUUGGGUUCUGAGGUUGUUUUGUAGCUGGUUGAGGUUGCAGCAAGGGAUAAAGCUCACGUAGCCUCCCUCCUUUCUCCUCUUUAGCUUACGGACAGAACGGACAGGUUGCAGCUCGCGCGAUUUCCUUUCUUUUCUUUCCUUUCGGACGCACGGAUGCAGCUCCCUCUCUAGCUCUCUCGUCGAUGAUAACAAGGCAGAGGAGAAUGUUGUUGUGGUCUUGAGGUGUGGAGAGGAAAUGGAAAUGAGCUACGGAUGAGAGAGUUG
rnacentral:lncRNA from 1 species